GAACAGUGCAGUUAUUUAGUUACCUUCAGAAAAUUUUAACCAAGACUUUUCCAUGCUGACCAACUUGGUCCUGCACAAUCAGUUUCCAUAGUGUGGUGAGGAGAACAGAAAUGAAGAACUUGGCAACAUCAAUCACCAUGAAGACAAUGAAAGAACAAAGUAAGAGUACAAAGUGAUCCAGCCAACUCUCUGACCAACCAACCAAUCACAGACACUGAAAGAAUAGAGAAGAAAAGUCAAGCACUGAGAACUUCAGGUGAAAACGAUGCCAGUUUCUCUACUAGAGGCUGUCAUCUGAGACUGAAGCUCAACUUGGCAAUGAUCCUGUAUUCCCAGCCUCACUGGUCACGUUGCUGUGGGCUGUGAACCUGUCAGUACUGCUGAGCCACAUGACUUGGAAUAGGACCACAGCUCACUCUGAAGUAGGGAAGGAGAGCUAAAAGAAGAUCAUUUUUGGUUGGAAUUUCCGAAAAUUUGACAUCUUCCAGAAAAAGAAUAGUCUAUGUUUCAGCAGUGACCAUGGUAUGCAGAUUGUCUAGGAACAAACCCUCAUUGUUUGGGGAGGACACAGGCUUACCAUGAAAACACCCUUGGGAAAGGACACCCAGGACCCCUUUCCUCUGCCAUUGGUAUGACCUUGGGCACAUCUCAUGCCCCGAACCUCAGUCUUCCUAUCUAUAAAAUGGUGGUAACAGU